rnacentral:rRNA from 1 species
UACGAAGGGAGCUAGCGUUGCUCGGAAUCACUGGGCGUAAAGGGCGCGUAGGCGGCCGAUUAAGUCGGGGGUGAAAGCCUGUGGCUCAACCACAGAAUUGCCUUCGAUACUGGUUGGCUUGAGACCGGAAGAGGACAGCGGAACUGCGAGUGUAGAGGUGAAAUUCGUAGAUAUUCGCAAGAACACCCGUGGCGAAGGCGGCCCACUGGGCCGGUACUGACGCUGAGGCACGAAGGCGUGGGGAGCGAACGGGG